ACGCAGGAAGUCCGCAGCAGCAUGUGGAGGAUAAGAGUCAUCAUUUGGCUGCGAUAACUUUUCCUUAUAUUUUCUCUUCUUUAAUUAAAAAAAAAAUACAGUUCUGUAACUGUCAGGAGGAAUUCUACUUUUUAGAAAACUGGCACUGAAGAUGAAACCGUGAGUCCCAUGCAUGCUAGAUUCCUCUCUUACAGCUCGAGUAGCCUUCUCAGUCGAACCGUUCAUGUUGCGAGCUGCUGGCGGGUGCAACAUUUUGGCGCCAGAACUGGGACCUGAAGAAUGGCAGAGAGAUGCUAAGAGGAACGCUGUGGUGGAGCUCCACAGGAAAGGAUCUUCAUAUCGGACAUCGGAGCAACGGACAGGUAAAUCAACACUCUCGAAGCGGACCAGCGGAUGUGCAUCCCCGCCCCCCUAGAGCACACAGGGAGGAGAUGUAGUCUCCCCUGCCCCAGCCUGAAACCUGCUUGCUCGGGGUGGAGCUUCCUGCUCAUUCGUUCUGCCACGCCCACUGCUGGAACCUGAGGAGCCACACACGUGCACCUUUCUACUGGACCCGAGAUUAUUCGGCGGGAAUCGAGUCCCCUCCCACUUCCUUCAUAACUAGUGUCCCAACAAUAAAAUUUGAGCUUUGAUCAGAAUGAAUUUGUCUUAGCUCCGUUUCUUCUUUCGCCCCGUCUAGAUUCCUCUCUUACAGCUCGAGUAGCCUUCUCAGUCGAACCAUUCAUGUUGCGAGCUGCUGGCGGCUGCAACACAUGCCAUCUACUCCUCUUGGGUGAAUUUGCUUUCUUUUGUUUUAGAGUUUUAGGUGUGUUGUGAAGCUGCUAUUGUGUA
rnacentral:lncRNA from 1 species